rnacentral:rRNA from 1 species
AGAGUUUGAUCCUGGCUCAGGAUGAACGCUAGCGGCAGGCCUAAUACAUGCAAGUCGAACGGUGAUAUUUAUAUCAUAGUGGCGCACGGGUGCGUAACACGUAUGCAACCUACCUAUUAUUGGGGGAUAGCCUUUGGAAACGGAGAUUAAUACCGCAUAAUACGAUUAACUGGCAUCGGUUGAUUGUUAAAGCAUUUGCGAUAAUAGAUGGGCAUGCGUCCAAUUAGUUAGUUGGUGUGGUAAUGGCUCACCAAGACGAUGAUUGGUAGGGGAUCUGAGAGGAUAAUCCCCCACACUGGCACUGAGAUACGGGCCAGACUCCUACGGGAGGCAGCAGUAGGGAAUAUUGGGCAAUGGGCGGAAGCCUGACCCAGCCAUGCCGCGUGCAGGAAGACGGCGUUAUGCGUUGUAAACUGCUUUUUUAUAGGAAGAAGGAUCCCUUGCGAGGGAAGGUGACGGUACUAUAAGAAUAAGCACCGGCUAACUCCGUGCCAGCAGCCGCGGUAAUACGGAGGGUGCAAGCGUUGUCCGGAUUUAUUGGGUUUAAAGGGUGCGUAGGCGGUUUAUUAAGUCAGUGGUGAAAGACGGUCGCUCAACGAUUGCAGUGCCAUUGAUACUGGUAGACUUGAGUGAG